CUCCCCUGUGGCCCCGCCCCCGCCGCUCAGGCCCCGCCCAGGCCCUGCCACCGCCGCUCCAGGGCCCGCCCUUCCCCGGGCCCUGCCUCGCCUCCAUCAGCCGCGGGGCUCGCCCUAGGCCGCGCCCCCGCCCAGGCCCCGCCCAGGCCGCCAGCCCGCCUCUUGCCCGGCCCCCUGUGGUCCCACCCCCUCUCCCCGCCCCUGCCCCGCCCUGCCCCGCCGAGACCCCGCCCCCUUCGCCUGUGGCCCCGCCUCACCCCGGGAGCCGCCUCGAGCCUGGCCCCGCCCCCGGCCGGUGCCUCACACGCCCAAGACCCGCCCUGCCUUCCGCCACGCCCCCGUCGUCAUUGGUCCCGCCUCGCCGCCCCGCCCCGCCCCGUGACGCUAAUUGGUCUCUUUCCUGAGAGCGUCCGGCGCCCCGAUUGGCCUCCGCCGUCGCGGUUCCUGCGUUGGAUUGGGCCGCCGCGCCCGCUUUCGCGAGGCGCCGCUCUGGGGCGGGGGGCGGGGCCAGCGGCGGCGGGAGGCGCGGGAUUGGUCGGCGGCGCAGGGGGGGCGGGUCCGCGCCGCGCGCAGCGCCUCGGCUGGAGCGCGAGGAGCAGCUGCCGCCGCCUCCGGCGUCUCGGACUCGGUGGCCUCGGGCUCCGUCGCCGCUCGGUCGCCCCGUCGUCACCCGCCUUCCCCCGCGGCCGCGGCCGCACCCCGGGCUCCGGCCGGGCCAGCCGGCGGGCACGCCCUCCUCCGCGGACAGGUGAGUGGCCGCGGGCGGGGCGGGGCGGGGCGGGGCGGGGGGCUCUGGCCCGGGUCCUGGGGUCGCGCGGGGUCAGGGGCCGGGGCGGGGGGCGGGGCCGGGGGUGGGCUCGGGCGUCAGGUGGGCGGACACCUGCGGGCUCCGCGCGGCGCUGCGGGCCGACCCCUCGGUGCACGUGCGCUCCGCCCGCCCCGGAGUGUGUCGCUGGUGCAGGUGCGGGGAGCCGCGCCCCAGGUGACCUGCCCCGGGCAGCGGGGACCUCGCGCCUCGGGACUCAGAGCCCGGAGACCCCCGCCCCCCCCGCAGGACCCCGCGUUCAGCGGUGGGCGGCGACCCCCAGCGCCCCCGGGCGCCCCACUUGCAUCGUCCCAGGGGCGCCCCGGAGACGCCCGUUUUGGCCCAGGAGGCAGUCUGCACCUCGGGGGAUGGUGCACACGAGCCGGGGGGGACCUGCUGACCCUCAGGUCAGGGGCGCCGGGGGCAGCUGUGCUGAUUUCAGACUUGGGGGGGGUCUCGGGGGCAGGUGCACCUGCUGA
rnacentral:lncRNA from 1 species